CCAGAUCACAGUUACCAUGUGAAUAUCUAUCUAUAUAUAUUUCUAAAUUCUUAAUCGGAAUGAUACUUUUUUUAGUAAAAUAAAAUAGAAAAUCAACUAAAUAUGUGCAAAAAUGUGCAUAGGCAUGAGGGAUCAGAGCUAGAAUGUUUCCCAAUCGUACCAAACAAAGCGUGCGGGAUAUUUUAUUCAAUAUAUUGCAUUAUAAUGGGAUGUAUUUUCCUUUUCUUUGACAUAAUAACAUUUGGGACUCAUUUUCACCAUACAUCAGGAGACUGUUUUAUAAUGGCUGUAUCAAUUUUGUAUGUUAUCGCUGGAUUUUUUUUAUUCUUUGGAAUAUUGCUUGAAAUUACUUUCUUCAUCGUGGUGGGAAAAGUUUUCAGUUACUUUUGGCCAUUACUGUAUUGCAUUCUCGUAUUUCCAUUAUUUAUUCAUAUAAUGAGCGUCAUAAAAAUUUGUGCUUUUAAAAGACAUAUCCAGUAGAUGCAGCCGAGUAUUUUUUUUAAAUUUAAUGUUUUAACCAGAAAUUUAAAUUGAUCUGUAUAUUUGUAUAAUGUAUUUUUGAAAUAUGUUUUGCAUGAAAAUUAUAUAAAUGGUAUUAAAGAUUUUGUUUUAUAAAUAAAAAGUGAUUAUAAUUUAGCACCGAACCUCA